GAAAUAAAUACCGUAAAUACUAAAUUGCUCACCGGCCGAUUUUUCAACGGCGUAAAAUUUAACACCCGAAAGAUGGCGAUUAGAUUAUAAAUUAUUAUUAUAUUAAAUUAAAUAAAUUAACGUUUUCGUUGAUCAUCAUAAAGGUCGAGUGCAUUCGGGAAAAUCCGGUUCACCGCUACCUGUUACUAUGACUUAUUUUUAUCACCAGUUAAUACAUUUCUUAUCGGAUUUAUUUUCGUUUAAUUAAUUAUCAAUUUAUACUCGUUUCAUUUAUAAUUUUAGAUUCUGAGCGAGGCGAAGAACGGUUGAACAACGGUACAAUGAUAAUUUUUGCUUUUUUUCAUACUGUGUACAAAAUUUCUCCGAAGAAAAACUUGCUCUAAUCAGAAAAUGACAAGAGACGUUUUUUGUUGCGUUUUAGAUCUAGUUACUGAAGAACAAAGUAAUUUUUUGAUUUUCCAAGCAGUUUGCAUGCUUAUUAUCAACAAAAUCUGCAUAAAUUGUUUCAAAUAAGUCUGAAAACGUCCAUAAUUAGAUAAUAUUAUAUUUUGUAUAAAUAUAUGUAUAAUUGAAAAUCAUAAAAAAAA